rnacentral:lncRNA from 1 species
GUGGGGAUGUGCUGAGUGCUGCUCUCCUCUCAAUAUUGACUUCAGAAGGCCAGUCUGUCUCCUGUCUCUACCCCUGUGACAGAUUGACGGGCUUGGCACUGAAGGUCUGAUAUACAAAUGCACUUCUGAACAGGAACUUGGGGUAAGUGAAACCUUGUGCCAGUGCACCUGAUACUGUAGGUGGGAGGGGGGGUAUAUGGUGACCUAAGCUCCCCUUCUGUUUCUGUGCCCCUAAACAGAACCACUACCACACCCAACUUCCUGUUUCGAAUUGUUUCACUCCUUAUCUGUAAUGCUGCAAACUGGUCACAUGUCAGAGUGACUUCCUCUUUUCACACACACACACUGACUGCUGUGAGGGAGAGAGAGAGGACAGGACAGAGAGAGCGAGAGAGAGAGGGGAGGGGGGAGAGGAAGAGAGGGGGCGGGAAGUGAGUGGUGGGGGGGGUGAAAGAAAAAAGAGAAUUGGCGGACGGCAGGGAGAAACUAUUAAACGUUACCAUGUUUGGCAGCACAUAAUGUAAGCAAAAGAUGCAAAUGAGAUAAGAAGGCAGAUUGCCAUGGCAACCUGCUUGCGGAUCGGCCAUGGUGUGAUUCGGCCGCCCGCCAGGCAGAAGGCGCUGUUGGAGAAAGGGAAAGAGAGAGAGGGGGAGGAGGGGAGUGAGAGAGUGAGACAGAGGGGGGAGGAGGGGAGGUAAAGUGACAGCAAUAAAAGAGAGAGGAGGGAGAGAGAAAGAGCGGUGGGGUGAGAUAAUAGAGGAAGUGGAGAGAGAGAAAACUAUUGAGUUAGAAAGAGCAAGAGAGAAGAGAGAUGGGCAGUUUAACCCACAAUGCAUUGUGGUACGUUGUGACUCGGUUAAAGUGUUGUCACUCAGCCCCAGUGUCACGUCAGCUUUCUACAGACAUACAGAUUUCUCCCUCGUUCCACUCUGCUCUGCCUGAGAAUGGUCCAGCCGGUGCCUGGGGCUCUUCUGUCGUGGCCUGUCUGAACACACACAAACACACAUAUACUCAACAGACACACGGAUGCGCGAGCACAAACCGAACAGCAAUGUGA